UACGGAGGGUCCAAGCGUUAUCCGGAAUCAUUGGGUUUAAAGGGUCCGUAGGCGGGAUAAUAAGUCAGUGGUGAAAGUCUGCAGCUCAACUGUAGAAUUGCCAUUGAUACUGUUGUUCUUGAAUUAUUAUGAAGUGGUUGGAAUGAGUAGUGUAGCGGUGAAAUGCAUAGAUAUUACUCAGAACACCUAUUGCGAAGGCAGAUCACUAAUAAUAUAUUGACGCUGAGGGACGAAAGCGUAGGUAGCGAACAGG
rnacentral:rRNA from 1 species